AUGAACCACUUCGGUGGGGAUUAGUGGCGAACGGGUGAGUAACACGUGGGCAAUCUGCCCUGCACUCUGGGACAAGCCCUGGAAACGGGGUCUAAUACCGGAUACGACCAUCUUGGGCAUCCUUGAUGGUGGAAAGCUCCGGCGGUGCAGGAUGAGCCCGCGGCCUAUCAGCUUGUUGGUGAGGUAAUGGCUCACCAAGGCGACGACGGGUAGCCGGCCUGAGAGGGCGACCGGCCACACUGGGACUGAGACACGGCCCAGACUCCUACGGGAGGCAGCAGUGGGGAAUAUUGCACAAUGGGCGAAAGCCUGAUGCAGCGACGCCGCGUGAGGGAUGACGGCCUUCGGGUUGUAAACCUCUUUCAGCAGGGAAGAAGCGAAAGUGACGGUACCUGCAGAAGAAGCGCCGGCUAACUACGUGCCAGCAGCCGCGGUAAUACGUAGGGCGCAAGCGUUGUCCGGAAUUAUUGGGCGUAAAGAGCUCGUAGGCGGCUUGUCACGUCGGUUGUGAAAGCCCGGGGCUUAACCCCGGGUCUGCAGUCGAUACGGGCAGGCUAGAGUUCGGUAGGGGAGAUCGGAAUUCCUGGUGUAGCGGUGAAAUGCGCAGAUAUCAGGAGGAACACCGGUGGCGAAGGCGGAUCUCUGGGCCGAUACUGACGCUGAGGAGCGAAAGCGUGGGGAGCGAACAGGAUUAGAUACCCUGGUAGUCCACGCCGUAAACGGUGGGCACUAGGUGUGGGCAACAUUCCACGUUGUCCGUGCCGCAGCUAACGCAUUAAGUGCCCCGC
rnacentral:rRNA from 1 species